UACGGAGGGUGCAAGCGUUAUCCGGAUUUACGGGGUUUAAAGGGUGUGUAGGCGGGCUAUUAAGUCAGUGGGGAAAUCUCCGGGCUCAACCUGGAAACUGCCAUUGAUACUAUUAGUCUUGAAUUUUGUUGAGGUAGGCGGAAUAAGUCAUGUAGCGGUGAAAUGCAUAGAUAUGACUUAGAACACCAAUUGCGAAGGCAGCUUGCUGAACAAAUAUUGACGCUGAGGCACGAAAGCGUGGGGAUCAAACAGG
rnacentral:rRNA from 1 species